rnacentral:misc_RNA from 1 species
AGAGAGAGAGAGAGAGGGAAAGAACAUUUUCCUUUUCUUGGUAAUCAAAAUAAAUUAUAAUUAUGGAAUAUAAAGAUGACAUAUAUCUAAUACACAUGAAAGCAAAUACAUAACGAAUGUACAAGUUGGCUUCCCAAUGCAGUCCUUUACCCAUUGUGGAGAUAAUAGAAUUAGUGGACCCAGGGAAAAAAAUUUUAGCCCUUUCUUUCCCUUCCAUCACCUUUCAAUAAGUUUUUCAUGCAAAAGAAGAAGUUAAAUUAUCUCAUCUCUCCCCACUCCAUUUUCUCCAGAGUACAGCCACACUUUCUCCCAUUCCCAAACAAAGGGCAAAAGACAAUCCACUACAAAGCUUACAAUUGGAAGUAACCAGGGGUGAAAAUAGAACUCAAUGAAGAAUUUACAAACCAGAUUUUUGCCAUACUCAAAAG